AGCGAACGCUGGCGGCAGGCUUAACACAUGCAAGUCGAACGCCCGUAGCAAUACGGGAGUGGCAGACGGGUGAGUAACGCGUGGGAACAUGCCCUUUGGUUCGGAAUAACCCAGGGAAACUUGAGCUAAUACCGGAUAAGCCCGAGAGGGGAAAGAUUUAUCGCCGAAGGAUUGGCCCGCGUCCGAUUAGCUAGUUGGUGAGGUAAUGGCUCACCAAGGCGACGAUCGGUAGCUGGUCUGAGAGGAUGAUCAGCCACACUGGGACUGAGACACGGCCCAGACUCCUACGGGAGGCAGCAGUGGGGAAUAUUGGACAAUGGGGGCAACCCUGAUCCAGCCAUGCCGCGUGAGUGAUGAAGGCCCUAGGGUUGUAAAGCUCUUUCGGCGGGGACGAUAAUGACGGUACCCGCAGAAGAAGCCCCGGCUAACUUCGUGCCAGCAGCCGCCGCGGUAA
rnacentral:rRNA from 1 species